GACGAACGCUGGCGGCGUGCUUAACACAUGCAAGUCGAACGAAGUGGCGAACGGGUGAGUAACGCGUAUACACCCUGCCCUUCAGAGGGGGACAACAGUUGGAAACGACUGCUAAUACCGCAUACUGCGUGAUGGGAUUGCGUUUGAUUAGCUAGUUGGCGGGGUAACGGCCCACCAAGGCGAUGCUCAGUAGCCGGUCUGAGAGGAUGAACGGCCACAUUGGGACUGAGACACGGCCCAGACUCCUACGGGAGGCAGCAGUGGGGAAUCUUCCGCAAUGGACGAAAGUCUGACGGAGCAACGCCGCGUGAGUGAUGACGGCCUUCGGGUUGUAAAGCGCUGUUAAUCGGGACGCGGUACCGGAAUAGAAAGCCACGGCUAACUACGUGCCAGCAGCCGCGGUAAUAC
rnacentral:rRNA from 1 species